rnacentral:rRNA from 1 species
CCUACGGGUGGCAGCAGUGGGGAAUUUUUCACAAUGGGCGAAAGCCUGAUGCAGCGACGCCGCGUGCAGGAUGAAGGCACUCGGGUUGUAAACUGCUUUUAUAAGCGAGAAAUAUGAUGGUAACUUAUGAAUAAGGAUCGGCUAACUACGUGCCAGCAGCCGCGGUCAUCCGUAGGAUCCGAGCAUUAUCCGGAGUGACUGGGUGUAAAGAGUUGCGUAGGUGGCAUAAUAAGUAGCUAGUGAAAUCGGGUGGCUCAACCAUUCAGACUAUUAGCUAAACUGUUAAGCUCGAGACCGUUAGGGGUAACUGGAAUUUCUAGUGUAGGAGUGAAAUCCGUAGAUAUUAGAAGGAACACCAAUAGCGUAGGCAGGUUACUGGGACGGUUCUGACACUAAGGCACGAAAGCGUAGGGAGCAAACGGGAUUAGAUACCCGUGUAGUC